UACGUAGGGUGCAGGCGUUAAUCGGAAUUACUGGGCGUAAGGCGUGCGCAGGCGGUUUCUUAAGUCAGAUGUGAAAGCCCCGGGCUUAACCUGGGAACUGCGUUUGAAACUGGGAGACUUGAGUGUGGCAGAGGGGGGUGGAAUUCCACGUGUAGCAGUGAAAUGCGUAGAUAUGUGGAGGAACACCGAUGGCGAAGGCAGCCCCCUGGGUUAACACUGACGCUCAUGCACGAAAGCGUGGGGAGCAAACAGG
rnacentral:rRNA from 1 species